rnacentral:rRNA from 1 species
UAGGGAAUCUUCGGCAAUGGGGGCAACCCUGACCGAGCAACGCCGCGUGAGUGAAGAAGGUUUUCGGAUCGUAAAGCUCUGUUGUAAGAGAAGAACGUGUGUGAGAGUGGAAAGUUCACACAGUGACGGUAACUUACCAGAAAGGGACGGCUAACUACGUGCCAGCAGCCGCGGUAAUACGUAGGUCCCGAGCGUUGUCCGGAUUUAUUGGGCGUAAAGCGAGCGCAGGCGGUUUAAUAAGUCUGAAGUUAAAGGCAGUGGCUUAACCAUUGUUCGCUUUGGAAACUGUUAAACUUGAGUGCAGAAGGGGAGAGUGGAAUUCCAUGUGUAGCGGUGAAAUGCGUAGAUAUAUGGAGGAACACCGGUGGCGAAAGCGGCUCUCUGGUCUGUAACUAACGCUGAGGCUCGAAAGCGUGGGGAGCAAACAGG